UUUUUUUUUUUUUUUUUUUUUUUUCUACCUUCUCAAACGAG
rnacentral:ribozyme from 1 species